rnacentral:rRNA from 1 species
GACGAACGCUGGCGGCGUGCCUAAUACAUGCAAGUAGGACGCAGUUGCGAACGGGGGAGUAACGCGUAGGUAACUACCUAUUAGAGGGGGAUAACUAUUGGAAACGAUAGCUAAUACCGCAUACUAGUAGAUGGACCUGCGUUGUAUUAGAUAGUAGGUAGGGUAAUGGCCUACCUAGGGAACGAUACAUAGCCGACCUGAGGAGGUGGUCGGGCAACAUGGGAAUGGGACAAGGACCAGACCCCUACGGGAGGGAGCAGGAGGGAAACUUUGGGAAGUGGGGGAACCCUGACCGGGCCAAGGCGCGGGAGUGAAGAAGGUUUUCGGAUCGUAAAGAUCUGUUGUUAAGGAAGCGGUACUUAACCAGAAAGGGACGGCUAACUACGUGCCAGCCGCCGCGGUAAUUC